rnacentral:rRNA from 1 species
UUGGAACUGAGACACGGUCCAAACUCCUACGGGAGGCAGCAGUGAGGAAUAUUGGUCAAUGGACGAGAGUCUGAACCAGCCAAGUAGCGUGAAGGAUGACUGCCCUAUGGGUUGUAAACUUCUUUUAUACGGGAAUAAAGUGAGCCACGUGUGGCUUUUUGUAUGUACCGUAUGAAUAAGGAUCGGCUAACUCCGUGCCAGCAGCCGCGGUAAUACGGAGGAUCCGAGCGUUAUCCGGAUUUAUUGGGUUUAAAGGGAGCGUAGGCGGGUUGUUAAGUCAGUUGUGAAAGUUUGCGGCUCAACCGUAAAAUUGCAGUUGAUACUGGCGACCUUGAGUGCAACAGAGGUAGGCGGAAUUCGUGGUGUAGCGGUGAAAUGCUUAGAUAUCACGAAGAACUCCGAUUGCGAAGGCAGCUUACUGGAUUGUAACUGACGCUGAUGCUCGAAAGUGUGGGUAUCAAACAGGAUUAGAUACCCUGGUAGUCCACACAGUAAACGAUGAAUACUCGCUGUUGGCGAUAUACGGUCAGCGGGCCAAGCGAAAGCAUUAAGUAUUCCACCUGGGGAGUACGCCGGCAACGGUGAAACUCAAAGGAAUUGACGGGGGCCCGCACAAGCGGA